GCGCAGGUGGUGUAAUGGCGCAGCAUCCUACCCAGUGCGCAGAGGGUGCGGGUUCGAGUCCCGUCUAGCGCU
rnacentral:tRNA from 1 species